rnacentral:rRNA from 1 species
AUUCGCGGCCUAUCAGCUUGUUGGUGGGGUGAUGGCCUACCAAGGCGAUGACGGGUAGCCGGCCUGAGAGGGUGACCGGCCACACUGGGACUGAGACACGGCCCAGACUCCUACGGGAGGCAGCAGUGGGGAAUAUUGCACAAUGGGCGCAAGCCUGAUGCAGCGACGCCGCGUGAGGGAUGACGGCCUUCGGGUUGUAAACCUCUUUCAGUAGGGAAGAAGCUUUCGGGUGACGGUACCUGCAGAAGAAGCGCCGGCUAACUACGUGCCAGCAGCCGCGGUAAUACGUAGGGCGCAAGCGUUGUCCGGAAUCAUUGGGCGUAAAGAGCUCGUAGGCGGUUUGUCGCGUCUGCUGUGAAAUCCCCAGGCUCAACUUGGGGCGUGCAGUGGGUACGGGCAGACUAGAGUGCGGUAGGGGAGACUGGAAUUCCUGGUGUAGCGGUGGAAUGCGCAGAUAUCAGGAGGAACACCGAUGGCGAAGGCAGGUCUCUGGGCCGUUACUGACGCUGAGGAGCGAAAGCAUGGGGAGCGAACAGGAUUAGAUACCCUGGUAGUCCAUGCCGUAAACGUUGGGCACUAGGUGUGGGGUCUGUUUCCACGGAUUCCGCGCCGUAGCUAACGCAUUAAGUGCCCCGCCUGGGGAGUACGGA